CGAGAUUCCGAAAGUAGUGGCGAGCGAAAUCGGAUGAGCCUUUACGUUUUAGCACGCAGGAUAGUCGAACGGAAUGGAAAGUCCGGCCGUAGCAGGUGAUAGCCCUGUAGACGAAAUUCUGUGUGUGGAACUAAGCGUAAGACAAGUAGGGCGGGACACGUGAAAUCCUGUUUGAAGAUGGGGGGACCAUCCUCCAAGGCUAAAUACUCGUGAUCGACCGAUAGUGAACCAGUACCGUGAGGGAAAGGCGAAAAGAACCCCGGAAGGGGAGUGAAAUAGAUCCUGAAACCGUAUGCAUACAAACAGUAGGAGCCUCCUUGUGGGGUGACUGCGUACCUUUUGUAUAAUGGGUCAGCGACUUACAUUCAGUGGCAAGGUUAACCGAAUAGGGAAGCCGUAGCGAAAGCGAGUCCGAAUAGGGCGAUUUAGUCGCUGGGUGUAGACCCGAAACCAGAUGAUCUAUCCAUGGCCAGGUUGAAGGCACGGUAACACGUGCUGGAGGACCGAACCCACUAAUGUUGAAAAAUUAGGGGAUGAGCUGUGGAUAGGGGUGAAAGGCUAAACAAAUCUGGAAAUAGCUGGUUCUCUCCGAAAACUAUUUAGGUAGUGCCUCAAGUAUUACUGCGGGGGGUAGAGCACUGUUAUAGCUAGGGGGUCAUGGCGACUUACCAAACUAUGGCAAACUCCGAAUACCCGCAAGUACAGCUUGGGAGACAGAGCACCGGGUGCUAACGUCCGGACUCAAGAGGGAAACAACCCAGACCGCCAGCUAAGGUCCCGAAUUAUCGCUAAGUGGGAAACGAAGUGGGAAGGCAUAGACAGUCAGGAGGUUGGCUUAGAAGCAGCCAUCCUUUAAAGAAAGCGUAAUAGCUCACUGAUCGAGUCGUCCCUGCGCGGAAGAUGUAACGGGGCUUAAGCGAUAAACCGAAGCUGCG
rnacentral:rRNA from 1 species